CCCCACAGGGUUACCGAAUUCAGUCAAACUCCGAAUGCCGGCAACUUGUACUCGGGAGUCAGACUGCGAGUGAUAAGAUCCGUAGUCGAAAGGGAAACAGCCCAGACCAUCAGCUAAGGUCCCCAAGUGUAUGUUAAGUGGAAAAGGAUGUGGCGUUGCACAGACAACUAGGAUGUUGGCUUAGAAGCAGCCAUCAUUCAAAGAGUGCGUAAUAGCUCACUAGUCGAGUGACGCCGCGCCGAAAAUGUAACGGGGCUAAACAUACCACCGAAGCUAUGGAUCCCGUGAGGGAUGGUAGGGGAGCGUUCCAAGCAGCAGUGAAGCGGUAUCGUGAGGAGCCGUGGAGCGCUUGGAAGUGAGAAUGCCGGUGUGAGUAGCGAAAAGAGGGGUGAGAAUCCCCUCCGUCGAAAGCCCAAGGUUUCCUGAGGAAGGCUCGUCCGCUCAGGGUUAGUCUGGACCUAAGCCGAGGCCGAAAGGCGUAGGCGAUGGACAACAGGUUGAUAUUCCUGUACCGCCGUACCACCGUUUGAACGAUGGGGGG
rnacentral:rRNA from 1 species